rnacentral:snRNA from 1 species
AGCUUUGCGCAGUGGCAGUAUCGUAGCCAAUGAGGUUUAUCAGAGGCGCGAUUAUUGCUAAUUGAAAAAUGAUGUAUGUCAUCUGUAAAACUCUCCCCUCUUAAUAUUUAAAAUAUCACUAAAACAAAUUUAUCUGAU